CUACGGGCUGCUCCAGUGGGGAAUAUUGGGCAAUGGGCGCAAGCCUGACCCAGCAACGCCGCGUGAGGGAAGAAGGUUUUCGGAUUGUAAACCUCUGUCCUUGGGGACGAAGAAGUGACGGUACCCAAGGAGGAAGCUCCGGCUAACUACGUGCCAGCAGCCGUGGUAAUACGUAGGGAGCAAGCGUUGUCCGGAAUUACUGGGCGUAAAGGGUGCGUAGGCGGCAUAUUAAGUCAGGUGUGAAAUACUCGGGCUCAACCCGGGGGCUGCAUUUGAAACUGAUAUGCUUGAGUGUGAGAGAGGAAAGUGGAAUUCCUAGUGUAGCGGUGGAAUGCGUAGAUAUUAGGAGGAACACCAGUGGCGAAGGCGACUUUCUGGCUCAUAACUGACGCUGAGGCACGAAAGCGUGGGGAGCAAACAGGAUUAGAUACCCCCGUAGUC
rnacentral:rRNA from 1 species